rnacentral:rRNA from 1 species
AGAGUUUGAUCCUGGCUCAGGACGAACGCUGGCGGCGUGCCUAACACAUGCAAGUCGAGCGAAGCUUAAGCCUUCAGCUUGCUGUUGGCUUAAGACUUAGCGGCGAACGGGUGAGUAACGCGUGGGUGACCUACCCAGGAGACCGGGAUAACAGCUCGAAAGGGCUGCUAAUACCGGAUGACAUCCUACUCUUUUGGGGGUAGGAUCAAAGCGUUAAGUAGCGCUUCUGGAUGGGCCCGCGUCCCAUUAGCUAGUUGGUGAGGUAACGGCUCACCAAGGCGACGAUGGGUAGCCGGUCUGAGAGGAUGGUCGGCCACACUGGGACUGAGAUACGGCCCAGACUCCUACGGGAGGCAGCAGUGGGGAAUUUUGCGCAAUGGGGGCAACCCUGACGCAGCGACGCCGCAUGGGUGAAGAAGGCCUUCGGGUUGUAAAGCCCUGUCUAGGGGGAAGAUAGUGACGGUACCCCUGGAGGAAGCCCCGGCUAACUACGUGCCAGCAGCCGCGGUAAUACGUAGGGGGCGAGCGUUGUCCGGAAUUACUGGGCGUAAAGGGCGUGUAGGCGGCCAAGCAAGUCAGCUGUGAAACACCCCGGCUCAACCGUGGUUCUGCAGUUGAAACUGCGUGGCUUGAGUGCAGGAGAGGAGGGUGGAAUUCCUGGUGUA